GCGCCGGGGCACCCUGCGCAAGCUGGAGUGGCCAGGCGCCUGGGCACCGAAAGUUAGCCAGGACGUCCGGCUUGCACGGAGGGAGCCACCCGGAAGCCAGUGUUGCUGCGGUGUGAUGUAAGACAUUAAAAUGCAGUGUCACACGUGCCGGUCUGGUUUGUUGUCCGCAUUCACUUCCACUAGAUCCCAGCGCAGCCACGUGACGGCGAGCGCGGCUGAGGUCGCGGGGCGGGGUCAGCGGGGGGCCGGAGCCUUGCUAGGGAAGCAGAAGGUGGUCUCACGGAGCCGAGCGUCUGCAGAAAGAUGGGCUCAGAGCGACCAACAGUGAUGCCCAGCUGCGUUUUUCUUAGGGACAGAAGUGAGCAUCGUGACUCCCAUUGUACAGGGGCUUGUUGAACGAGGUGGAGUCACUCGCCUAAGACAACGCCAGAUCUGCAGCCUGAGCUUCCCCCACGUGGUCUCCACCCGCACCAUCGCCAUGUCCCUCGUCCAAGUCUAUGCCCAGAUCCCACACCAGCUCCCUCCAGCCCUCGUGUGUCCUGGACUCUACUUUUUUCUUUAUUCACCUGCACCCAGGAUCGAGGCAGAAGUACCUAUUUCAACUCUGAUUCCAGCAGCAGAAGAUGUGCUCACUCCUCACAUGAGACACAUUCUUCAUGGACCAGCAAUUCAACGAGGUUCGUUUUUCAUUGUAUGGCUUAAGGGCUUCGCAUUGGUGGGAAGCUGUGUUCGGUCACAACAGGAACUACCCAGCACGUUCGUCCUGUGGCUGCAGACUCAUCACCAGCCAGUUCCUGGGAAAAGGUGAUAAACUCUCUUGGAAGGGACACAUAUAUCUCUUCUGACACAGCUACAUGGACUCUUCUCCAAACUCUGCAGCCAUCCUCCCCAUUCAGUGAAAUAAAGUGUAGAUUU